rnacentral:rRNA from 1 species
AGAGUUUUAUCCUGGCUCAGGAUGAACGCUAGCGGCAGGCUUAACACAUGCAAGUCGAGGGGCAGCGCGGGUGGCAACACCUGGCGGCGACCGGCGGACGGGUGAGUAACACGUAUGCAACCUGCCCUGCACAGGGGAAUAGCCCGGAGAAAUCCGGAUUAAUGCCCCAUGGUCCACUGGGUCCGCAUGGAUCUGGUGGUAAAGAUUCAUCGGUGCAGGGUGGGCAUGCGUUCCAUUAGCUAGACGGCGGGGUAACGGCCCACCGUGCCGACGAUGGUUAGGGGUUCUGAGAGGAAGGUCCCCCACAUUGGAACUGAGACACGGUCCAGACUCCUACGGGAGGCAGCAGUGAGGAAUAUUGGACAAUGGCCGGAAGGCUGAUCCAGCCAUGCCGCGUGCGGGAGGACGGCCCUAUGGGUUGUAAACCGCUUUUGCAUGGGAGCAAUAAGGGUCACGUGUGGCCCGAUGAGAGUACCAUACGAAUAAGCAUCGGCUAACUCCGUGCCAGCAGCCGCGGUAAUACGGAAGGUCCAGGCGUUAUCCGGAUUUAUUGGGUUUAAAGGGAGCGCAGGCGGCCCGUUAAGCGUGACGUGAAAUGUAGUUGCUCAACAUCUGCACUGCGUCGCGAACUGGUGGGCUUGAGUUCACGGUAGGAAGGCGGAAUUCGUGGUGUAGCGGUGAAAUGCUUAGAUAUCACGAGGAACCCCGAUUGCGAAGGCAGCUUUCCGCAGUGUUACUGACGCUCAUGCUCGAAAGCGCGGGUAUCGAACAGGAUUAGAUACCCUGGUAGUCCGCGCGGUAAACGAUGGAUGCCCGCUGUUCGGCCAUUGGGCUGAGCGGCCAAGCGAAAGCAUUAAGCAUCCCACCUGGGGAGUACGCCGGCAACGGUGAAACUCAAAGGAAUUGACGGGGGCCCGCACAAGCGGAGGAACAUGUGGUUUAAUUCGAUGAUACGCGAGGAACCUUACCCGGGCUUGAACUGCAGAGGAAGGAUCUGGAGACAGUGACGCCCUUCGGGGCCUCUGUGGAGGUGCUGCAUGGUUGUCGUCAGCUCGUGCCGUGAGGUGUCGGCUUAAGUGCCAUAACGAGCGCAACCCUUUUCGCCAGUUGCCAUCAGGUAGAGCUGGGCACUCUGGCGACACUGCCACCGUAAGGUGUGAGGAAGGUGGGGAUGACGUCAAAUCAGCACGGCCCUUACGUCCGGGGCUACACACGUGUUACAAUGGCGCGUACAGAGGGCAGGCGGCCGGCAACGUCCGUCGAAUCCCGAAAUCGCGCCGUAGUUCGGAUUGGGGUCUGCAACCCGACCCCAUGAAGCUGGAUUCGCUAGUAAUCGCGCAUCAGCCAUGGCGCGGUGAAUACGUUCCCGGGCCUUGCACUCACCGCCCGUCA